UGCUUGCUCCUGUUCCCUCCAGCCUGAGGCCUGGAAGGACCCAGAUCCCUAGGCUCCCCAUCCUUCUUCAGCCAGGCCCUCCUGGGACUGAGAGCAACAGGACCCAGCUCUGCCAUGCGGUUUUCUUGGUGAGGAGCUGAUCUGCUUUUUUCCAGGUAAACACGUGGGGUUAGUAGACCCUUCGGGAGACCAGGCACUGUCAGUGACAUCAGAAGACCAAGGGUUAUGGGUGCUCCACCGCACUCCCUGCUGCAGGCCAGGAGAGAGAUCAACCUGGAUGCAGGAUCCAGGUGAAGACUGUGAGAAGAAACGAAGAGAAGAGAGCCCACCAGCUUACUUGGAUGCCCCGACAGGAAAGAAAACAGGAACACACACAGCAAUGCUUGUUAUAGCAACAGUUGGCCAGGCACGGUCCUAAGAGCUUUGCAAAUAUUACUUCAUCUGCCCUCAGGCUCUGUCUUGUCAGAAGCUGCCCCUGCGCCUGACCCCCUGCCCUGCCCCCAGAGCUCUGCUGAGAGGAUACAUUGACCAGGGAAGCCCAGCGGACAGGCCCGCCAGGGGCCAGGCCUGAGGAGUGGGGGUCCAUAUACUCACAGCAGCUGGAGCCCCAAACAGGGCAGUGGACAGAGAGUCCCAGGAAAUCGCCAAAGGGAAAGACUCAGAAGCUGGGGCCCACUCCAAACCUCAGGAGAGAGAAGGCCCUGAGUAGGGUGGAUUGUAUGGAAAAGAAGGCUCAGAAGAAAUCAUCAGACUCCCCAACAAGAAAAAAAUAAGGAUUACUGGAGCCGGCGGGUUUCAAAUCCAAAGACAGAGUCAUUUCCAUCCUUCUGCCUCUCCCCUCCCUCCUCUCUUCCGACUCUGUCUCAUCUUGCCCUUCCUCCCUCCUUGUCUCUCUACCUCCCCCACUUCUCCUCAUCUCUGGUGGCAUCUGCGCCAUCCCAAAGCAUCUGGUUCAAAGGCAAAACUUCGAGUCAAUCCCAGCAUCACCUUCAUAGAUAAACUGACCGUGAGACAGACUGUGGGGACAGUCGGCAUGUGUAGACCUUGCCUCUGUUGCUGUCUCUCCACCAUGUCCCACCCUGUCCUCACCUGUCCACACACCCACUCCCAAGUGCAAGUUUUCUUCAUUUCCCUUCCACCUCUGUGUGCACAUCCCUGCCUCCAUGUCCUGCACCUAUCUGAACUCUGGAAGUUGGAAGGAUAUCGUUGGUGCCUGUCCUUGCAAAGGGAUCCAUGGAGACCCUGUUCUGUUCCUAAUCUGGGUGUGAGACUAGAGGAAGGUGGGGCCAUUAAACCUUCCCAAACCUUUCUAGGACCAGAAGGUCCAGACGCUGCCAGACCUUAGAGCCAUAACCUGCUCCACUGCUGCUCACCCCCCACGCAAU